CCUACGGGUGGCAGCAGUGAGGAAUAUUGGUCAAUGGGCGAGAGCCUGAACCAGCCAAGUCGCGUGAAGGAUGACGGCCCUACGGGUUGUAAACUUCUUUUGUCAGAGAGCAAAUGGGUCCACGCGUGGGCUUAGCGAGAGUACCUGAAGAAAAAGCAUCGGCAAACUCCGUGCCAGCAGCCGGGGUAGUACGGAGGAUGCGAGCGUUAUCCGAAUUUAUUGGGUUAAAAGGGUGCGUAGGCGGAAUAUCAGGUCAGCGGUAAAAAUUCGGGGCUCAAGCCCGACGUGCCGUUGAUACUGUUGUUCUAGAGUGGGCGAGAGGUAGGCGGAAUGUGUGGUGUAGCGGUGAAAUGCUUAGAGAUCACGCAGAACACCGAUUGCGAAGGCAGCUUACCGGCGCCCAACUGACGCUGAGGCACGAAAGCGUGGGUAUCGAACAGGAUUAGAUACCCGAGUAGUC
rnacentral:rRNA from 1 species